rnacentral:rRNA from 1 species
CUGCGAAUGGCUCAUUAAAUCAUAUGUGAUUUCUUAGAUCGUAACCAUUGUCUGCGGACAGUGGGUUUGGAUAACUGUGGUAAUUCUAGAGCUAAUACAUGCAAUCAAGCUCUGACCUUAGCGGGGACGAGCGCUCUUAUUAGACCAAAGCCAGCCUGUGGGGCAACCUGCAGCAUCGCUGUGGUGACUCUGGAUAAAACUAGUGGAUCGCAUGACCUUUGCGUCGGCGACGUAUCUUUCAAGCGUAUGCCCUAUCAUUUAUAGUCGAUAAGGUAAGUGCCUAUCGAGAAUGCAACGGGUAGCGAGGAAUCAGGGUUCGAUUUCGGAGAGGGGGCCUGAGAAAUGGCCGCCACAUCCAAGGAAGGCAGCAGGCGCGCAAAUUACCCAAUCCCGACACGGGGAGGUAGUGACGAAAAAUAACAAUACUAGACUCUUUCGAGGCCUGGUAAUUGGAAUGAGCACAGUUUAAAUCCUUUAGCGAGGAUCAAUUGGAGGGCAAGUCUGGUGCCAGCAGCCGCGGUAAUUCCAGCUCCAAUAGCGUAUAUUAAAGUUGCUGCAGUUAAAAAGCUCGUAGUUGGAUCUCGGGUUACGGCUUGGCGGUCCUGUUCACGCAGGUCACUGCUCGGUCGGCCCCAUAAGUGGCAGUUUCUCUUCGGGGAGGCGGCGUCUCGGGUUCCCUUAACUGGGUGCUCGAUGGCGGCCACUCUGGUUACCUU